GGAUAGCUCAGUCGGUAGAGCAUGAGAAUCUUAAUCUCAGGGUCGUGGUUUUGAGCCUCACGUUAGGUG